CUUUCUCUUUUGGUCAUGUUUUCUCCUCCCACUGUGUCAUGUGGGAAGACACUUCCCGUCAUACAGUAACCUCUGAUGGGGAACUUGUUCCUCGGAAAAAAACCCUCAUCUGCAGUCGGCUUCAGAUUUUUCACCUGGAACAGAAAAACAACUAAAAAGAAAAAAGAUAAGAGGAACUGGAAGACCGUAAGGCGAUGGCGGAAACGUCUUCAAAUGAGCCAGAAACUCCAGAUGUCGACCAACAUCAUGACCCAAGGUCGCUGCCCAGCAGGUCGGAGCCGGAUGGCUUAGAGCACCAUCCUGUGGUCGAAUUGCAGAACUGCAGCUAUUCGGACCAAAGUGACCCGGACGCCUCAUUCAACCGUGCCAUGAUGAUGAUCUUCUUCAGCAUCCUGUGUUAUACUCUGUUGAAUUUAUUAAUUUUUGAAUAUCUUUUACCACCUUAUAUGAGUUCUGAGGGUUAUUUCAUUGCUACACCACAGCAAUUUGGUCUCAGCAGGAACGGCUAGCUGCUAACUAGCGAUGUUUGCUGUUGCCGUUGUCGUCGCAGUAUUUGCGAAGAAGGCGACGAAGAAGAACACCGGUAAAGCACUGCAAAGGGAAGUGGAAGCGCAAAC